CAUCCACCCGCUCUCGCUCUCUUUCUUCGCUCCCAAAACCAAACCCUCUCCACGAAAAUCCCAAACCCCAAAACCCCCGCCAAAGUAAAAUUCCCCAAUUUCCAAAACAAACCCAUCUCUGAAGCCACAGAGAAUCCUGUAACUUAACUAUAUAAACUGAAUAUUUAUGGAUUCAGAUCAGGGAAAGCUAUUUAUUGGUGGGAUUUCAUGGGAGACAACUGAAGAGAAGCUUAAGGACUACUUUGCUCAAUAUGGCGAUAUUUUACAGGCUGUUGUAAUGCGAGACAAGACCACUGGCAGACCCAGAGGCUUUGGUUUUGUCGUUUUCGCAGAUCCUUCCAUCCUCGAUAGGGUUCUCCAAGAUAAGCAUACAAUCGAUAGUAGAACGGUUGAGGCAAAGAAGGCCUUGUCAAGAGAGGAGCAGCAAACAAGUGCCAGAGCUGGAAACCUGAAUCCAGCAAGAAACAAUGGCAGCGGUGGAAAUAUCAGGACCAAAAAGAUUUUUGUUGGAGGAUUACCUCCCACUCUGACUGAGGACGGAUUCCGUCAGUAUUUUGAAGCUUUUGGCCAUGUUACUGAUGUAGUAAUAAUGUAUGACCAAAACACCCAACGGCCUCGUGGAUUUGGAUUUAUUUCCUUUGAUAGUGAGGAUGCCGUUGACCGGGUCUUGCGCAAAACUUUUCAUGAUUUGAAUGGUAAGCAAGUUGAAGUAAAGAGAGCUCUUCCUAAAGAUGCUAAUCCUGGUGGGGGAAGCCGCUCUAUGGGUGGCGGCGGCGGCGGUGGUGGUGGUGGUUAUCAGGGCUAUAGUGCUUCUGGGGGCAACACAAAUUCAUAUGAUGGUCGAAUGGAUUCAAAUAGGUAUAUGCAGCCUCAGAGCACGGGAGGUGGCUUUCCUCCUUAUGGUUCCUCUGGCUAUAAUGCACCUGGUUAUGGAUAUGGCCCUGCCAAUAAUGGUGUUGGCUAUGGUGGUUAUGGUAGUUAUGGUGGUGGUGGUGCUGGUGCUGCAUAUGGAAAUCCCAAUGUCCCAAAUGCUGGGUAUGCAAGUGGUCCACCUGGUGCCCCUAGAAGCUCAUGGAGCAGUCAAGCUCCAUCUGGCUACGGUGCCAUGGGCUAUGGAAAUGCUGCUUCAUGGGGUGCACCAAAUAUUGGUGCUGGUAGUGGUGGUCCCAGUUCAACACCUACUGGUCAAUCUCCUAGUGGAACUGCUGGCUAUGGGAAUCAAGGUUAUGGAUAUGGAAGUUAUGGUGGAAAUGAUGGAUCUUAUGGGAAUCCAGCUGGAUAUGGAGCUGUUGGGGGGCGUUCUGGGGGUACUCCAAACAGUAAUUUUGGAGGUGCAGGUGAACUUCAGGGGAGUGGCAGUGGCUACAUGGGAAGUGGCUAUGGUGAUGCAAAUGGAAAUCCAGGAUAUGGAAAUGCAGGUUGGAGAUCUGAGCCAUCACAAGCUUCCGGAAAUUAUGGGACUCCUCAGGCAAAUGGACCUCAUGGUGGGCAAGUUGGUUAUGGCGGGGGGUAUGGUGGUGCUCAGAGUCGGCAAGGCCAACAACAGUGAUCAUGAACACAUUGAUGCCAACUGGAUCUUCAUCAGUGUUUUAUGGGUUCUUUCCGUACUUUGCAUGAGGUCCUCCAAAGAUUUCUUGUUCCCAGCGGCAGGGGGAGUGGCUCAAAUUGGAUGCUGAUGCUCAUUGGGACUGGAGGAGAUGCUCGAGUUUUAAGGUGGAGUCACAUGUCCACUCAUCGCCUGAGCUUCAUAGUGGGGGUGUGUUCAGUGUUGGGUUUUUUCAGCAUGGACUGGAAUUUGAAGAGGACAUAUUGGUUGAAAUAGUGAGUUAAGAGAAGGGCCAUUUUCAGCCAGGCGAUGUCAUCCAUCAGUCUUGUUUGCAGAUUCUUGGCGUUACAAGUUAUAAAUUUCUCAAUCAUUCGAGUUCCUGGUCGCUAAUCAAUUUUGUGUGGUGAACAUCUUGCGGUAUGUUGACUUGAGCUGUCAGCUGUCUCUUAUGACAAGAUGUGGCAACCUGGAAUAGAUCAUUUGUCAUUUCAAAUGUUUAGAGCACCGGAGAGUCUUUAGCUGUAGUGUUGUUAGAUUUUGGAAUGAAGCUAAUGGCUUUUAUAAUGUUUAUUGGCAAGUUAUUUUAUUGAAAACGGGCUAAGCAACAUGCAAAGGGUCUAUGCUUGUCUACUAUGAUGCAUUGUUUAAUACUAGUGAUGUGUUGAAAUGGUUCAGGGCUUCAGGCUUUAAUAGAGUUACCGCUACUUAUGAAUUUCUUCAUUCAAA